CUGCCUUGCUGGCUACAGACCCCUUUUUAACCCUUGUGGGUUUUUUUUUUCUGAUGUCAUGCCAUGUCUUUUGAGCUCUGCCGUUGCCAUGUGUUUCUGUGUUGCUUUGUACCGGUUCUCUCUCACCCUCGUUAAUCAGGUCAGAGUGGCUUCAGCAGCAGCUGGAGCCACUCAGGUGAUUGGCCACGUAGCCUGGUCUGAGCAGCUGACUCCACUUCGUCAUCAUCUCACCCUGACAGUAAAAAGCCGGUCGUCACAUCCACUCUUCGCCGGAUUGUUGUUCAAACUACUCACAUCUCAGCUGCUCGGAACCCACGCACUGCCAUCCUGAAUCACCGCCAAGAGGAUACCACCGCCAGGACCAAGCCCAGAACCGCCGCUUGACCCACAGCCAAGAGAAUACCACAGCCAAGACCUAAGCCAGAGCCCCCGCUCAACCCACAGCCACAAGGAAACUACGGUCCGCAGUCAGAACCGCAGCCAAGACAAUACCACAGCCAAGACCAGGUCCCGAACCUCGGCCCGAUCCACCGCCAAUAGGAAUCCCAUCACAGAAACCCAGUCCAAGACCCAGGCCUGGAGGUCCAGCCUUCCAUCCCCAGAAUCAUCUUUCCUCCCUCACAAUAAAACCUAUAAUUCACCACCA